rnacentral:rRNA from 1 species
UACGGGGGGGGCAAGCGUUGUUCGGAAUUACUGGGCGUAAAGGGCUUGUAGGUGGCCAACUAAGUCAGACGUGAAAUCCCUCAGCUUAACUGGGGAACUGCGUCUGAUACUGGUUGGCUUGAGUGCAGGAGAGGAACGCGGAAUUCCAGGUGUAGCGGUGAAAUGCGUAGAUAUCUGGAGGAACACCGGUGGCGAAGGCGGCGUUCUGGACUGCAACUGACACUGAGAAACGAAAGCCAGGGUAGCAAACGGG